rnacentral:lncRNA from 1 species
GAGGUUUGAAUUUUUUUACUUGUCUUCGAUUUGCUCUUCUGUAGUGAAUUUGCAGUUUUUUCGUGUAGAUAAUAAUGAUCAUUUAUAGUUUUCUAUUGGGUGGGACAUGUUCUUCGCACAUGAUUCCAGUGUUCUAGAAAGCAAAAAGCCUAUGUACGACUCUUGCUUAUGUUGAUGGUUUUCCACUAUGAGAUGCUGUGAAUAUGUUUACCACUACUGUUGCAAAAUAUGUGACAAUUCAUAAAUCUUUGCGUGUGUUUAGUAUAUCGUAUGUAAAUAGAAGAUCUGUACUAGCAAAUUUGGCAGACUCGAUAAGGAUUAAAGUGCACGUUUUGGCCUUGCAGGUUGCUUGAACUACUUGAUAAAGAACUUUUCAGUACCCUAUGAAUGAUUUGGUUCAUUUGAACUUGUGGGAAUUAGGACUAUGUACUUUUGAUGUUGCUUAUUGUUUAUGAUCAUUUGUGGAGUUAUAAGUUUCUGUUUGUCAAUUAUAUGUCAGUUUAGUGAUUCUUGCAUAUGUAGCAUUCAUGUCUAUCUGAGCACUUAGGAGGGUGUAUUCUCUUACUUUCAUGCAAAAUUAAAGCACAUCUAUACUUUUUCCAGUGUGAUCCAGAAGAAAAAGGUUCCUGUGAUUCUGGCUGUAAUGGAGGGCUAAUGAAUAGUGCAUUCGAGUACACAUUGAAAUCCGGUGGACUUAUGAAAGAGCAAGACUAUCCAUACACUGGUACAGAUCGAGGAACCUGCAAAUUUGACAAGAGCAAAAUUGCUGCAUCAGUGGCCAACUUUAGUGUUGUCUCCCUUGAUGAAGAACAAAUUGCUGCCAACCUCGUGAAGAAUGGCCCUCUUGCAGGUAUUACACUCAGCCAUCCUUUCUUAAAUCCCAUUAUUUUCUUUAGCCUAGCAUAGUCUGACUGCUUACUUUCUUCUUAAAUGCAGUUGCUAUCAACGCUGUGUUCAUGCAAACAUACAUAAAAGGGGUUUCUUGCCCUUACAUUUGCUCAAAGCAUUUGGAUCAUGGAGUUCUGUUGGUUGGUUAUGGAUCUGAUGGAUAUGCUCCCAUCCGGUUGAAAGAUAAACCAUACUGGAUCAUUAAGAA